rnacentral:rRNA from 1 species
UCCGUAGGUGAACCUGCGGAAGGAUCAUUAACGAACUCUCGAAGGAUGCGGUUGCUGCUGGGCUUCUCAGAAGUCAACGUGCACACGCGCUCUUUCCUCUCGUUCAACCAAUCUACCCCCCCAUCUGUGCACCCCUCGUAGGCUGAGAUCUCUUAGCUUAUGUUCUUUCCACAAAGCAUCCUAAUAUAUCAACGAAUGGCACCCGUUCGAGCCUCGUCUCGACGCAGCAAUAUACACAACUUUCAACAACGGAUCUCUUGGCUCUCGCAUCGAUGAAGAACGCAGCGAAAUGCGAUAAGUAAUGUGAAUUGCAGAAUUCAGUGAAUCAUCGAAUCUUUGAACGCACCUUGCGCCCCUUGGUACUCCGAGAGGCAUGCCUGUUUGAGAGUCAUCGAACCAUCAACCCGAGCGGCUUUCGAGCUUCUAUCGGAGUUUGGAGCUUGCGGCGUGCGGGAAGGGCUCUCUGGGGCCCUCUCCGCUCCUCGCGGAAUACAUCAGCAGAUGUCCACUUGCGGCCCAGCCUUGGCGUGAUAACUGUCUACGUCCCUGGCUUGGGUCGCGUGUCCCCGGCUCUGCUUCGAACGGUCGCCGUUCUGGCGACGGGAUGGACUGACAAAUUGACCUCAAAUCAGGCAG